rnacentral:tRNA from 4 species
GCGGGGUGGAGCAGCCUGGUAGCUCGUCGGGCUCAUAACCCGAAGGUCGUCGGUUCAAAUCCGGCCC